rnacentral:lncRNA from 1 species
UUUAGGGUUUGUUCUAUAGAUAUGUCAGCCUCCUAGCAGCAGCAACAUCAACAGUUCAACACAGAUAUAGCGCGCGCACACAGCACACAAAGCAGCAAGCAGAGCAAGACCUCCUUCCUAAUAGCAGCAGACAGAAGUUCCUCGUCAUUGUUGAUCGUCGUCGAGGAGGGUGACCACAAUCUAGAACCUCCUCCUGAACAGUGAGCAGGUGAGCUUGAUCAGCCAGCAAAUCCGGCAAGCUCCGCACCUUCUCCCUGAUAUGGAAAUGCUGAGAACGACCACCAGAAAGUUCAGAAAAAAAACAUGCAAGAAGAAGUUCAGAUAAACAUUUAGAUUACUCUGAACAACCAAUGAGGUACUGACUACUGACUACAACAGAAUAAGCAAAAUGUCUGAAUAAUUGCAGGAUAGAAUGCAACGAACACGACGAUCAAUUAGCCGUAGCCCGGUUAAGAAGAGAGGUUUAUGUGAGUUAAGAAAGGCUCAGAUAUGCUUAUGCCUGUGGGAAUGAAAUUGUAAACGUAAAUUUCAAACUCCUUUCCAGUCUAGAAACACAUUGCAGGGAACAACCACCACCUGCUCAUCUUGAUAUCAAGGCUUUUCUUGCUUAGACUGUAAAUAGACCAAUGCACCGAUACGGCACCAGCGCCAGCACCAGCACCAGCGCCAGCGCCGGUUAU